CUAGAUUGGUGUGGAUUCUUAAGGAGUUCUUGGGGAGGUUCAAGAGCGAGGUCAAGUAGGAAGUCCACGAACGGGCCACGGCGGCACUGCCGAUGAUGCUCUCCAGAAUCAGAUUAGCCGCGGCUAUGAAUGCGGCGAAGUCCCCCAGCUCCACUCUCAGGUAAGCGAAGGAGCCUCCGGCGACCGGGAUCUCGACCGCAAACUCGGUGUAGCAGAAGACGGAGAGCAUUGCGGAGAUGCCGGAGGCGACGUAGGACAGGACAAUAGCAGGGCCAGCAUGGUCGUGCGCUUCUUGGCCGGUGAGGACGAAGAUCCCGGCGCCGAUGACGGAGCCGAAGCCGAACCAGGUGAGAUCCCACCAGGUGAGGCAGCGCUUCAUGUCGUUGACGCUCUG
rnacentral:lncRNA from 1 species